GACGAACGCUGGCGGCGUGCUUAACACAUGCAAGUCGAACGGAAAGGCCCUGCUUUUGUGGGGUGCUCGAGUGGCGAACGGGUGAGUAACACGUGAGUAACCUGCCCUUGACUUUGGUAUAACUUCAGGAAACUGGGGCUAAUACCGGAUAGGAUCUCCUGCUGCAUGUUGGGGUUUGGAAAGUUUCGGCGGUUGGGGAUGGACUCGCGGCUUAUCAGCUUGUUGGUGGGGUAGUGGCUUACCAAGGCUUUGACGGGUAGCCGGCCUGAGAGGGUGACCGGCCACAUUGGGACUGAGAUACGGACCAGACUACUACGGGAGGCAGCAGUGGGGAAUAUUGCACAAUGGGAGGAAGCCUGAUGCAGCAACGCCGCGUGCGGGAUGACGGCCUUCGGGUUGUAAACCGCUUUCGCCUGUGACGAAGCGUGAGUGACGGUAAUGGGUAAAGAAGCACCGGCUAACUACGUG
rnacentral:rRNA from 1 species